rnacentral:rRNA from 1 species
UUAGAUGUCCAGGGCCGCACGCGCGCCACAAUGAAGGGAUCAGCGUGUGCCUGCCCCUGUCCGUCAGGACUGGGUAACCCGCUGAAACCCCUUCGUGAUAGGGACUGGCGUUUGGAAUUGUCCGCCACGAACGAGGAAUUCCCAGUAGGCGCGAGUCAUAAGCUCGCGUCGAUUACGUCCCUGCCCUUUGUGCACACCGCCCGUCGCUACCUCCGAUUGAAUGAUUUAGUGAGGCCCUCGGACGGGCGCACGGAGCGGCUCUCGCGGGCCGGGCCGUCGUGCCGGAAAGACGGCCGAACUUGAUCAUUUAGAGGAAGUAAAAGUCGUAACAAGGUAGCC